rnacentral:lncRNA from 1 species
UGUGGUUCCCGGUGGCAGCUCCCGGCCGCCCUGCCCCGGCCGUGCCCGCAAGCCUGAAGCGGAGGGACGGAGGGACGGACGGAUGGCCGGCAUCCCCGACGGAGGGAUGUUUCUGUCUUUGGUUAUCUAGCUGUAUGAGUGUUGUGGAGCCAUCAUAAAGCUAGAUAACCGAAAGUAGAAAUGACUUCCAGACCUGCUCGCCCAGGGGGACGCGGCCGCAAGCAGCACCGGGCGGUGCGGAGCCCACUCGACCCGACCCGACCCGGACCCGACCCGCCGCCCUCGGGGCUCCAGACAUGACUGCAAGUUCGCGGAAGUGGGAUGCCAUGGGAAGGGCUGGGACGUCUCCACCUGAGCAAGGAGAGAUCCCAGCGAGCGGAGAAGGGACUUCUCAAGCCUCUGAGUUCCUUCUUGCAGUUGGCUACCACCUGCCCCGACUUGCCAUCUGACGUCUCCAGGUUUCUCCAGGAGGGUCCCACCCUGCUUCGCCGGUGGCCCCGG